UAACCACACUGCCGGUGUCCAGGA
rnacentral:miRNA from 1 species